rnacentral:rRNA from 1 species
AACGAACGCUGGCGGCAUGCCUAAUACAUGCAGGUCGAACGAUCACUUCGGUGGCAGUGGCGCACGGGUGCGUAACGCGUGGGAAUCUGCCCUUGGGUUCGGAAUAACGCCGGGAAACUGACGCUAAUACCGGAUGAUGACGUAAGUCCAAAGAUUUAUCGCCCAGGGAUGAGCCCGCGUAGGAUUAGCUAGUUGGUGGGGUAAAGGCUUACCAAGGCGACGAUCCUUAGCUGGUCUGAGAGGAUGAUCAGCCACACUGGGACUGAGACACGGCCCAGACUCCUACGGGAGGCAGCAGUAGGGAAUAUUGGACAAUGGGGGCAACCCUGAUCCAGCAAUGCCGCGUGAGUGAUGAAGGCCUUAGGGUUGUAAAGCUCUUUUACCCGGGAUGAUAAUGACAGUACCGGGAGAAUAAGCCCCGGCUAACUCCGUGCCAGCCGCCGCCGUAA